GUGUCAGCCGCCGCGGUAAGACGUAGGGGGCGAGCGUUGUCCGGAUUUAUUGGGCGUAAAGGGCUCGUAGGCGGCUUGGCAAGUCGGGUGUGAAACCUCCAGGCUCAACCUGGAGACGCCACCCGAUACUGCCAUGGCUAGAGUCCGGUAGGGGACCACGGAAUUCCUGGUGUAGCGGUGAAAUGCGCAGAUAUCAGGAGGAACACCAGUAGCGAAGGCGGUGGUCUGGGCCGGAACUGACGCUGAGGAGCGAAAGCGUGGGGAGCAAACAGGAUUAGAUACCCUUGUAGUCC
rnacentral:rRNA from 1 species